rnacentral:rRNA from 1 species
GUAGGUGGGGUAACGGCUCACCUAGGCGACGAUCCCUAGCUGGUCUGAGAGGAUGACCAGCCACACUGGAACUGAGACACGGUCCAGACUCCUACGGGAGGCAGCAGUGGGGAAUAUUGCACAAUGGGCGCAAGCCUGAUGCAGCCAUGCCGCGUGUAUGAAGAAGGCCUUCGGGUUGUAAAGUACUUUCAGCGGGGAGGAAGGGAGUAAAGUUAAUACCUUUGCUCAUUGACGUUACCCGCAGAAGAAGCACCGGCUAACUCCGUGCCAGCAGCCGCGGUAAUACGGAGGGUGCAAGCGUUAAUCGGAAUUACUGGGCGUAAAGCGCACGCAGGCGGUUUGUUAAGUCAGAUGUGAAAUCCCCGGGCUCAACCUGGGAACUGCAUCUGAUACUGGCAAGCUUGAGUCUCGUAGAGGGGGGUAGAAUUCCAGGUGUAGCGGUGAAAUGCGUAGAGAUCUGGAGGAAUACCGGUGGCGAAGGCGGCCCCCUGACAAAGACUGACGUUCAG